rnacentral:rRNA from 1 species
AUUGAACGCUGGCGGCAGGCCUAACACAUGCAAGUCGAACGGUAACAGGAAGAAGCUUGCUUCUUUGCUGACGAGUGGCGGACGGGUGAGUAAUGUCUGGGAAACUGCCUGAUGGAGGGGGAUAACUACUGGAAACGGUAGCUAAUACCGCAUAACGUCGCAAGACCAAAGAGGGGGACCUUCGGGCCUCUUGCCAUCGGAUGUGCCCAGAUGGGAUUAGCUAGUAGGUGGGGUAACGGCUCACCUAGGCGACGAUCCCUAGCUGGUCUGAGAGGAUGACCAGCCACACUGGAAGUGAGACACGGUCCAGACUCCUACGGGAGGCAGCAGUGGGGAAUAUUGCACAAUGGGCGCAAGCCUGAUGCAGCCAUGCCGCGUGUAUGAAGAAGGCCUUCGGGUUGUAGAGUACUUUCAGCGGGGAGGAAGGGAGUAAAGUUAAUACCUUUGCUCAUUGACGGUACCCGCAGAAGAAGCACCGGCUAACUCCGUG